rnacentral:rRNA from 1 species
UGGAGCGUGUGGUUUAAUUCGAUGCUACACGAAGAACCUUACCAGGGUUUGACAUGCAAGUGGUAGGAAGCCGAAAGGUGACCGACCCUUCGGGGAGCUUGCACAGGUGCUGCAUGGCUGUCGUCAGCUCGUGUCGUGAGAUGUUCGGUUAAGUCCGCUAACGAGCGCAACCCUCACUGUGUGUUAUAUGUGUCACACGGGACCGCCGGUCUUAAGCCGGAGGAAGGUGGGGAUGACGUCAAGUCAGCAUGGCCUUUAUAUCUUGGGCA